rnacentral:rRNA from 1 species
AUUGAACGCUGGCGGCAGGCCUAACACAUGCAAGUCGAGCGGAUGAAGGGAGCUUGCUCCUGGAUUCAGCGGCGGACGGGUGAGUAAUGCCUAGGAAUCUGCCUGGUAGUGGGGGAUAACGUCCUGAAACGGGCGCUAAUACCGCAUACGACCUGAGGGAGAAAGUGGGGGAUCUUCGGACCUCACGCUAUCAGAUGAGCCUAGGUCGGAUUAGCUAGUUGGUGGGGUAAAGGCCUACCAAGGCGACGAUCCGUAACUGGUCUGAGAGGAUGAUCAGUCACCCUGGAACUGAGACACGGUCCAGACUCCUACGGGAGGCAGCAGUGGGGAAUAUUGGACAAUGGGCGAAAGCCUGAUCCAGCCAUGCCGCGUGUGUGAAGAAGGUCUUCGGAUUGUAAAGCACUUUAAGUUGGGAGGAAGGGCAGUAAGUUAAUACCUUGCUGUUUUGACGUUACCAACAGAAUAAGCACCGGCUAACUUCGUG